UACGGAGGGUGCGAGCGUUGUCCGGAAUCACUGGGCGUAAAGGGCGCGUAGGCGGCCCGGCAAGUCAGCGGUGAAAGCUUGGGGCUCAACCCCGAGUCGGCCGUCGAUACUUCCGGGCUGGAGCACUGUAGAGGCAGGUGGAAUUCCGGGUGUAGCGGUGGAAUGCGUAGAGAUCCGGAAGAACACCGGUGGCGAAGGCGGCCUGCUGGGCAGUAGCUGACGCUGAGGCGCGACAGCGUGGGGAGCAAACAGG
rnacentral:rRNA from 1 species